UGCGGGGGGGGCAAGCGUUGUUCGGAAUUACUGGGCGUAAAGGGUUCGUAGGUGGCCAACUAAGUCAGACGUGAAAUCCCUCAGCUUAACUGGGGAACUGCGUCUGAUACUGGUUGGCUUGAGUGCAGGAGAGGAACGCGGAAUUCCAGGUGUAGCGGUGAAAUGCGUAGAUAUCUGGAGGAACACCGGUGGCGAAGGCGGCGUUCUGGACUGUAACUGACACUGAUGAACGAAAGCCAGGGUAGCAAACGGG
rnacentral:rRNA from 1 species